GUAGGGGGACAGCGGAGGACAUUACCGAGUUUACAACUCCCAAACCCCUGUGAACAUACCUAUCGUUGCUUCGGCGGGAUCGCCCCGGCGCCUUCGGGCCCGGACCCAGGCGCCCGCCGGAGGACCCAAACUCUUGUUUCUAUGAGUAUCUUCUGAGUAAACAAGCAAAUAAAUUAAAACUUUCAACAACGGAUCUCUUGGUUCUGGCAUCGAUGAAGAACGCAGCGAAAUGCGAUAAGUAAUGUGAAUUGCAGAAUUCCGUGAAUCAUCGAAUCUUUGAACGCACAUUGCGCCCGCCAGUAUUCUGGCGGGCAUGCCUGUUCGAGCGUCAUUUCAACCCUCAAGCCCCCGGGCUUGGUGUUGGGGCUCGGCCCGUCCCUCGUGGACGCGCCGUCUCCGAAAUCUAGUGGCGGUCUCGCUGUAGCCUCCUCUGCGUAGUAGCUAACACCUCGCAACGGGAACGCAGCGCGGCCACGCCGUUAAACCCCCCACUUCUGAAGGUUGACCUCGGAUCAGGUAGGAAUACCCGCUGAACUUAAGCAUAUCAAUAAGGCCGAAGGAA
rnacentral:rRNA from 1 species